rnacentral:lncRNA from 1 species
AAAAACUGAAUAGUACAUUCUUCCACAGCCAAAAUUGCAAAUCUGAAUCACUUUUAGUUGGGGACUUCUUCAGCAAAGUUCAUGGUAACCAGUGACAGAAACUGUCAGCAAAAAAGAAAGAAGAAACACAUAAAAAACUUAGUUGAAGUCCCUUGUUCUUUGUGUCCCCUUUUGAGGUUAAGGAAUCAGCCAGUCUUAUGAUUAUGCAGACUAUUGAUCCAAGUAGUUUCGAAGCUGUGACAUGUGAAGCAUAAGUAGUGUCAACACUUAAAAUAUGAUGUCAUAAGACAUAGAUAUUCAACAUUUGUUAUAAGUCAAUCCCCAAAGCCUCAAUCACGUUGAUUGGUCAUACACAGAGCUGCAGUCUAAAGGAAGUAGCAGGCCGUGAAAUGCAUGUCAUAUAAGAUGCUAGACAACAGUAUAUGAGUGAAAAAUUAGCUUUAUGUGCUACUGUGUCAUCCCAUACUAAUACUUACAGUCAGUGGCGGAUCCAGAAAUUUUUUAGCGGAGGUGCAAAAUUGAUUAAGUAUGAAAAAUAGUUUUUCGGAAUAAUCAUUUUCUCAAGAUAAUUUUUGGCGGCUUUUAUUCCUUACACAUUAAAUAAGAAAACUUGAUUUUAUGGGAUUUUAGUACGAAGUAUAUAUUGACUUAAUGAGCCAUCAUUUUUAGCCUAAAUCGUAUUUUGCACUAAAACCGAUUUUUCAUAUUUUGAUUUGACAGGAAUUUGAUUUUCUAGUAUUUUUAUUUGAAUCCAAAUGAGGGGUACUUCCUUAUUUACAUUGUAAACUUAAGUAAAUGAAGUAAUAUAAAAAUAAAUUAAAGUAAAAUGACAAAGACAUUUACUUAAAUGUUGAAAAUGGAAAUAAGGUAAUCUGUACACCAGUUGAGCAAAGGGGCAGUUUGAAGCACCUACAAUAGUUUUUUCGGCGAGGGGAGGUGCAAGUGCACCUCCUUGCGCCUAUGUAGAUCCGCCAGUGCUUACAGUCUUUAUUAAUUCACUGACAGGGAAAAUUGGCUUGAAUCAGCUCUUUCGAAACAAAAGAAGAGAAAAAUUAUUGCAUUCCAUGAAAGAGCUCAAACUGGACUGAUUUAGAGAAUCUACUUCCAACAAAGUUGGAGACUUUCUGCAGCAAUAUUGAUAGUUUCCCUAUGUGCAACUAGUUCCAAACAUUCACAAAUGGAGAAGAGGGCCUUACCCAUAACCAGGCAAAUCCACAAAGUACCAACUUUUAUUCACCAACAAAUGAUUGGUAAGCUGUCUUCCCUACACAAAAUCACACAAAACUAAGCAAACCCCAGAAACUAACCUAAACCUUCUCCAAGCCCAUUUCCAACUUUGUGCAUGUGUGCAUGGUCUAUUAGUUUAGGGCUUAGUCCAUAACAUUAGCCUUUGUGAGAAGCAAGCCCAUUCAUACCCCAGAGUCCACUCUUUGGAUUUUUUAUUUUUAUUUUUUUCAUGUGCACACUUUCAUGAGAACCAUGACAAAAUUUUCAACGUAAUCUCUCACAAUUUGACAUGUGUCAAAUUGUGAUUUACAGUAACCAGAAAAGCACUGUCCUAUCAAUAUCGC